rnacentral:rRNA from 1 species
GGACCAAGGAGUCUAGCAUGUGCGCGAGUCAUUGGGAUUUUUACUAAACCUAAAGGCGCAAUGAAAGUGAAGGUCAGCCUUGCGCUGACCGAGGGAGGAUGGACAGUCCCGAGGGACUGUCUCGCACUCCCGGGGCGUCUCGCUCUCAUCGCGAGAAGAGGCGCACCCAGAGCGUACACGCUGGGACCCGAAAGAUGGUGAACUAUGCCUGGUCAGGACGAAGUCAGGGGAAACCCUGAUGGAGGUCCGUAGCGAUUCUGACGUGCAAAUCGAUCGUCGGAACUGGGUAUAGGGGCGAAAGACUAAUCGAACCAUCUAGUAGCUGGUUCCCUCCGAAGUUUCCCUCAGGAUAGCUGGCGCUCGCUUCUCGCGAGUCUCAUUCGGUAAAGCGAAUGAUUAGAGGCAUUGGGGUCGAAACGGCCUCAACCUAUUCUCAAACUUUAAAUGGGUGAGAUCUCCGGCUUGCUUGAACUGUGAAGCCGCGAGAUACGGAUCAGAGUGCCAAGUGGGCCACUUUUGGUAAGCAGAACUGGCGCUGUGGGAUGAACCAAACGCUGAGUUAAAGCGCCUAAAUCGACGCUUAUGGGAUACCAUGAAAGGCGUUGGUAACUUAAGACAGCAGGACGGUGGCCAUGGAAGUCGGA